ACGAACGCUGGCGGCACGCUUAACACAUGCAAGUCGAACGAGAGAAGAGGAGCUUGCUUUUCUGAUCUAGUGGCGGACGGGUGAGUAACACGUGAGCAAUCUGCCUUUCAGAGGGGGAUACCGAUUGGAAACGAUCGUUAAUACCGCAUAACAUAAUUGAACCGCAUGAUUUGAUUAUCAAAGAUUUAUCGCUGAAAGAUGAGCUCGCGUCUGAUUAGCUAGUUGGUAAGGUAACGGCUUACCAAGGCGACGAUCAGUAGCCGGACUGAGAGGUUGAUCGGCCACAUUGGGACUGAGACACGGCCCAGACUCCUACGGGAGGCAGCAGUGGGGAAUAUUGCACAAUGGAGGAAACUCUGAUGCAGCGAUGCCGCGUGAGGGAAGAAGGUUUUAGGAUUGUAAACCUCUGUCUUCAGGGACGAAAAAUGACGGUACCUGAGGAGGAAGCUCCGGCUAACUACGUGCCAGCAGCCGCGGUAAUACGUAGGGAGCGAGCGUUGUCCGGAAUUACUGGGUGUAAAGGGAGCGUAGGCGGGAUCGCAAGUCAGAUGUGAAAACUAUGGGCUUAACCCAUAAACUGCAUUUGAAACUGUGGUUCUUGAGUGAAGUAGAGGUAAGCGGAAUUCCUAGUGUAGCGGUGAAAUGCGUAGAUAUUAGGAGGUACAUCAGUGGCGAAGGCGGCUUACUGGGCUUUAACUGACGCUGAGGCUCGAAAGCGUGGGGAGCAAACAGGAUUAGAUACCCUGGUAGUCCACGCCGUAAACGAUGAUUACUAGGUGUGGGGGGACUGACCCCUUCCGUGCCGCAGCAAACGCAAUAAGUAAUCCACCUGGGGAGUACGACCGCAAGGUUGAAACUCAAAGGAAUUGACGGGGGCCCGCACAAGCAGUGGAGUAUGUGGAUUAAUUCGAAGCAACGCGAAGAACCUUACCAGGUCUUGACAUCGUAUGCAUAGCUCAGAGAUGAGUGAAAUCUCUUCGGAGACAUAUAGACAGGUGGUGCAUGGUUGUCGUCAGCUCGUGUCGUGAGAUGUUGGGUUAAGUCCCGCAACGAGCGCAACCCUUACUGUUAGUUGCUACGCAAGAGCACUCUAGCAGGACUGCCGUUGACAAAACGGAGGAAGGUGGGGAUGACGUCAAAUCAUCAUGCCCCUUAUGACCUGGGCCUCACACGUACUACAAUGGCUGUCAACAGAGGGAAGCAAAGCCGCGAGGUGGAGCAAACCCCUAAAAGCAGUCUUAGUUCGGAUUGUAGGCUGCAACCCGCCUACAUGAAGUCGGAAUUGCUAGUAAUCGCAGAUCAGCAUGCUGCGGUGAAUACGUUCCCGGGCCUUGUACACACCGCCCGUCACGCCAUGGGAGUCGGUAACACCCGAAGCCUGUAGUCUAACCGCAAGGAGGACGCAGUCGAAGGUGGGAUUGAUGACUGGGGUG
rnacentral:rRNA from 1 species